UUUGCCUGGUGGGCAGGGAGAGAGGCUCCUGAAUGGCGCCGACCGUGUGCUGCCAGUCCCGGAGUGGAUGUGCUUCCGAUGGCGUGUCGGGGGUGUCUGGGCUGGCCCCCAGCUGUGUGCUGUGUCUGGCAAUGCCAAAGGGAUUUGUGCUGCUGCUUGUGCUGGUGCUGUGCGAGGAGGGGGCUGAGCCCGGCCCGGGGCGGAGCUGGCGGAGGAGGGCAGGGGAGGGAGAAUGGGAGGGGAUGGGAGGGGAGGCGGCCCGUGCGGAGCAGAGAGCCGGGGCUGGCGGGGGCAGCGAGGCGCGGGCGGCGGAGCGGCGGGAUGCGGCGCUGGCGGGGCGCGGGGCUGGCGGCGCUGGCCGCGGUGCUGCUCGUGGCUGCGGGCAGAGCCCAGGUGCAGCAGGAGCCGUUGGCACAAACCCCCGAGGGCACGGAAAUCACCAUCAACUGCUCACACCC